rnacentral:misc_RNA from 1 species
GCGGAAGUAAAAAGUCGUAACAAGGUUUUCCCGUAGGUGAAACCUGCGGAAGGAUCAUUAAUAAAUUUUUUUUUUGAAAAUAAAAAAAAAAAUAAUAAUCAUCCCUACCCUUUUGUGGAAUUUGUUUUUGUUGAAUAAUUUUUUAAAAUUAUUUAUUGUCUAUCCCAAGUUGGAAAGUUGUAAAAGACUAGAAAGACUUGGAGCGGCAUAAAUAAAUUUUAAAAGACUUUUUUUCUAAAAAUUAAACUUUUUGUAUUCAUUUGUCUAAAAUAAUUUUUAUAAUAUAUAAAAAACAACUUUUGACAAUGGGAUCUCUUGGUUCUUCGCAAACGAUGAAGAACGCAGCAAAAAUUGCGAUAGGUAAUGUGAAUUGGCAGAAUACGUGAAUCAUCGAAUCUUCGAACGCAUAUUGCACUUUUUUAGUUUACUAAAAAAGUAUGUCUGUUUGAGUAUCAGUAAAAAUAUUCCCAUAAAAUUUUUUAAUUUUAUGGUUAUGAGUGUUUUUACAACGAUAAACAAGUUUGUUUUCACUUUAAAUUGAAUUUUUUUUGAAGAAAUUCUUUAAUUCAAAAUUAAAUUUGGAUAAAAUUUUUCCCGUAAAAAAGGAAUAACUAUACAAGUUUAAUAAGAAUUUAGUGAUUUCUUUUAUGAAAAAGGAAAUUUAUUAAAAUAACUUGAUCUCAAAUCAGAUAAGAGUACCCGCUGAAACUUAAGCAUAUCAAUAAGCGGAGGAAAAAGAAACUAACAAGGAUUCCCCUAGUAACGGCGAGUGGAAGCGGGAAAGAGCUCAAAUUUGAAAAUCUUAAAAGGGUUUCCCUUUACGAAUUGUAGUUUAAAAGAAGUGUUUUUUCUGUUUGAGGUUUUUGGUAAAAAGUUUCUUUGGAAAUAGGACAUCAUAGAGGGUGGAGAAUUCCCGUAUUUGACCUUUUACUUUCAAACUUUGUGAUACACUUUCAAAGAGUCGGAUUGUUUGGGAAUGCAGUCCAAAAUGGGUGGUAAAUUUUCAUCUGAAAGCUAAAAUAUUGGCGAGAGACCGAUAGCGAACAAGUACCGUGAGGGAAAGAUGAAAAAAGAACUUUGAAAAAGAGAGUUUAAAACAGUAACGUUGAAAAUUGUCCAAAAGGGAAGCGUUUGACACCAGUGUUGUUUUUUUCCGAAAAUCAAUUAAAGAACUGUUUAUGCUAAGCUGUUUAGGACUUUAUCAGCUAUCUGUUUAGUUUUGAGCUUUUCUUUAAUGCACUUUUCAGUUUAACAAGUCAACAUCAAUUUUCUUUUGCUGUAAAAAAAGCUUGAGGAAGGUGGCUUGAGAUUUCGUCUUAAGUGUUUAUAGCCUCUUGCCUAUGCAGUCCGGAGAGAUUGAAGGUCUGCAAGCGUAGAUUCCUUCGGGGCUAAAUGCAUUUUGUGCUAAGUUUAUAGCAUUUUAUAGACAACUUGUUGAACUAUGAUUUGUCUUGUAGCUUACUCCGCUUUAUGUUAUUUUUACCUACGCUUAGGAUGUUGACG